GUCUACAGCUAUACCAUCCUGAGCAUGCCUGAUUUCAUCUGAGCUCAGAAGCUAAGCAGUGUUAGGCCUGGCUAGCAACUGGAUGGGGGAAUUCUACUGAUGCUCUUAUGGGGAUUCCUUUGUUUUGUUGUUU
rnacentral:rRNA from 1 species